CCCCAAAAAAGGUGAAUCCACUUCCAACUCAAGUCUAAAAUCCAGGCAAAAUAGAGGUGCAAAUCCUAUUAUACCCUUUCAACCCAAACCCAAAUUACCCCUUUUCUUUUCCCCCAACCAUGAGAACCCUAACUACCUACAACCUUCCAAUUGUGAACUAUCACGCUACGGACCAUCACUUUAGUGACAAUUGACGAAACCUUCAUCACAGGAAUGUUGAAAUUAUCUUGUUCUUAUUUUACAGAACUUGAUUUGAGGUUUGAUUAAAGGGUUUUACAGAAGUCUUACCCAAUUGGAUUUGUGGUUCUUCCUCAUUUCUCUGCUCUAGCGGAUCUCACGCAUUCCCUAGCUUCUCCAUCGGCCCCUCCUUCUGGUCUCCUGCGUCGAAGAUUCUCCUACUAUAAGGUGAUUGAAAUUUGGUUCUUUUCCUCAUCAUUUUUUCAUUACUUUAUUGCAAUGGUCGUGGGCUUCGGCAGUGCAUAUCACAAUGGAGAAUGAAGAGGAUCUAGUGAGAAAGUAGUGGUUAAAGGUUGUGAUAAAACCUUGAGACCUCUUUGGAUUUCAAUAUAUAAUCAAAAAAUUUGUAAGACACUUUGUUUGCAGAAGAAGAUCCAUCUGAUCAUAACAAACUCCUUCGCAAAGCAAUGACAAAAGGGUCUCAGUAGUCUUCUCUGUAUGCCCGCAAUGGAACCUGGCGUUGAUUGAUGGAUGGAUGCUCGUUCUGUUCUCUCCUCUGCUGUUGUCUUCUCUACUAGAGAUGGAGAGUGAAACUGAGACUGAAAUCCCUUGGUUUUGGUGAAAUGUGCCACCACAUAAGAGAGAGAGAGAGACCUAAGGGGUUAACGCAGUGGGUGAGCAAUGAAUUUGGGUCAGUGCGGGACUAGUCAAGCCAAAGGCCUGGAUACCCAUCGUUAGCAAAGAGAGAGAGAGAGAAAGCAUCACCUAUGGUUGAGAGGAAGAAGAUGGAUUUCACAAGGAGAUGAGACUAGGGAGAAGAUUAGGGUUUGCUACCACAUAGAACUGAUUACAACACACACGAUACUCACUACAAUUCAUCAAGUGUUUCUAAUACGCACGCCUUAUGCAAUCCCCCUUUAUGCCAUGCACAUAAUAUCAGGUAACAAUCUCAUUUUCUUGGAGAAACUAUGAACUAUCUUGUUCUCUUUGAAAUUCUUUUCUAGUGCAGAGCUUUGACCUUGACAUGAUUUUAAAUAUUUAGAGAUUUCUUGAUAUUGUAAGAAGAUUUUUAUUUGUGCCACUGGCUUAUAGGGUUACAAUCUCAUUUUCUUGGUGACACUUGAAACCUUCUAGUUCUCUUUGGUCCAGUCAUGUCAACCUGGGAUAGACUUUAUGUGAAGCUCAGACUUAGCCCAAGAUUAAAAUUUUGGAAUUACUUACAAGCCCAACCUAGUAUGAAACCCAUCCCUUCCCAGAAAGCUCAAACCAGACUUGGUCUGUUUGUAAACUAAGGGCCCGUUUGAUAACGUUUCAAGAAACUCUUUUCUGCCGUUUCUAUAUCAAGAAACGGAAGAAACGGAACAAAAAGCGUUUUGACAAAACUAUUCUGUUUCAACUCUUUUGUAGCUUUUACUUUCUUUUAACUAACUUUUGAUUUAUAUUGUGGGUAUGUCUGUGAUUCUGUAAUGGACUCAUGGGUAUCUUUGGAUAAACAAAUCCUAAUGGCUGCACUAGUGUACGGGAAGACAAGAAUACUGAAAAGCGAUAUUGAAGUCUCUGAGGAAAAGUAUAUUUACAAAUAUCUUUGAUGUAGUUAACAAGUUAGAUCUAAACAAAGGUGGCAGUUAGAUCAAGUAGGAAAAUUAACUGUUGUUUAAGACAUUGACACAUUGUGAAUGUAAUAACAAUAUAAUGUUUUUUAGAUUAAUUUAUAGUAGUUAAAAAUGAUGAUAUACGAUAAAGUGUACAAGGUUUUCCUGUUUUGAAAAUGGUGUUGGACCAAAUGGUUAUGAUUUCCUUUUAAAUUAAAUAAAUAUGAUGUUUUAUAUUGUUUUAAACAA